CCCAUGAUGGCCGAAAUAAUAGGCAUUAAGCUUUUAACUUAACCAUAGUAUCAAACUUCAUGGAU
rnacentral:tRNA from 1 species